rnacentral:rRNA from 1 species
AUAACAGUCCGAAAGGAUUGCUAAUACCGCAUGUGGUUAUCAGAUUUAGAAACUGAUAUCUAAAGGAGCAAUUCGCUUUGGGAGGGACCUGCGUCCCAUCAGCUAGUUGGUGAGGUAACGGCUCACCAAGGCGACGACGGUUAGGGGACCUGAGAGGGUGACCCCCCACAAUGGAACUGAAACACGGUCCAUACACCUACGGGUGGCAGCAGUAGGGAAUAUUGCUCAAUGGGCGAAAGCCUGAAGCAGCAACGCCGCGUGUGCGAUGAAGGCCUUCGGGUCGUAAAGCACUUUUCUGAGAGAUGAGAAAGGACAGUAUCUCAGGAAUAAGUCUCGGCUAACUACGUGCCAGCAGCCGCGGUAAAACGUAGGAGGCAAGCGUUAUCCGGAUUCACUGGGCGUAAAGCGCGUGCAGGCGGUUCGGUAAGUUGGGCG